GACGAACGCUGGCGGCGUGCUUAACACAUGCAAGUCGAACGGAAAGGCCCUGCUUUUGUGGGGUGCUCGAGUGGCGAACGGGUGAGUAACACGUGAGUAACCUGCCCUUGACUUUGGGAUAACUUCAGGAAACUGGGGCUAAUAUCGGAUAGGAGCCCCUGCUGCAUGGUGGGGGUUGGAAAGUUUCGGCGGUUGGGGAUGGACUCGCGGCUUAUCAGCUUGUUGGUGGGGUAGUGGCUUACCAAGGCUUUGACGGGUAGCCGGCCUGGGAGGGUGACCGGCCACAUUGGGACUGAGAUACGGACCAGACUCCUACGGGAGGCAGCAGUGGGGAAUAUUGCACAAUGGGCGGGAGCCUGAUGCAGCAACGCCGCGUGCGGGAUGACGGCCUUCGGGUUGUAAACCGCUUUCGCCUGUGACGAAGCGGGAGUGACGGUAAUGGGUAAAGAAGCACCAGCUAACUACGUG
rnacentral:rRNA from 1 species